UACGAAGGGGGCUAGCGUUGCUCGGAAUCACUGGGCGUAAAGCGCACGUAGGCGGACUCUUAAGUCGGUGGUGAAAUCCUGGAGCUCAACUCCAGAACUGCCUUCGAUACUGAGAGUCUCGAGUCCGAGAGAGGUGAGUGGAACUGCGAGUGUAGAGGUGAAAUUCGUAGAUAUUCGCAAGAACACCAGUGGCGAAGGCGGCUCACUGGACCGGAACUGACGCUGAGGCGCGAAAGCGUGGGGAGCAAACGGG
rnacentral:rRNA from 1 species